UGUAAUGAUUUGUUUUGAUUAGAUUUUACAUGAUAUUCAAUUGUGAAAUUUAAAAAUAUUGGCGGUGUUUUAUUUUAUUCUGAGAAUCUUGUAUAGUUAAAAUGAUAGUGCACAAUAGAUCUUACCUCUAAUUGAUUUGGCUUAUUUAUUGCUGUUUAAUUUAUAAUUUAUUUUGAAAUAAUUUUAAUUUUAUAAAGAAAAAAAAAUUCAAGUCAAGAUGUAGUUUUUUGGAGGAUUAUAUGAGUUGCGUUUUUCUAGAAUGAAAAGAUAUAAAUAUUUAUUUGAAAAAAUUUUUGUUUUUUAGGAUUAGGAAGUAAAAGAAAAUUAGGAAAGUUUUUUUGAUAAUUUUUAUAAUCAUGU
rnacentral:rRNA from 1 species